rnacentral:rRNA from 1 species
AACCGUUAUAACCGGCGAUUUCCGAAUGGGGAAACCCAGUGUGUUUCGACACACUAUCAUUAACUGAAUCCAUAGGUUAAUGAGGCGAACCGGGGGAACUGAAACAUCUAAGUACCCCGAGGAAAAGAAAUCAACCGAGAUUCCCCCAGUAGCGGCGAGCGAACGGGGAGGAGCCCAGAGCCUGAAUCAGUGUGUGUGUUAGUGGAAGCGUCUGGAAAGGCGUGCGAUACAGGGUGACAGCCCCGUACACAAAAAUGCACAUAUUGUGAGCUCGAUGAGUAGGGCGGGACACGUGGUAUCCUGUCUGAAUAUGGGGGGACCAUCCUCCAAGGCUAAAUACUCCUGACUGACCGAUAGUGAACCAGUACCGUGAGGGAAAGGCGAAAAGAACCCCGGCGAGGGGAGUGAAAAAGAACCUGAAACCGUGUACGUACAAGCAGUGGGAGCCUCUUAAUGGGGUGACUGCGUACCUUUUGUAUAAUGGGUCAGCGACUUAUAUUCUGUAGCAAGGUUAACCGAAUAGGGGAGCCGAAGGGAAACCGAGUCUUAACUGGGCGUUAAGUUGCAGGGUAUAGACCCGAAACCCGGUGAUCUAGCCAUGGGCAGGUUGAAGGUUGGGUAACACUAACUGGAGGACCGAACCGACUAAUGUUGAAAAAUUAGCGGAUGACUUGUGGCUGGGGGUGAAAGGCCAAUCAAACCGGGAGAUAGCUGGUUCUCCCCGAAAGCUAUUUAGGUAGCGCCUCGUGAAUUCAUCUCCGGGGGUAGAGCACUGUUUCGGCAAGGGGGUCAUCCCGACUUACCAACCCGAUGCAAACUGCGAAUACCGGAGAAUGUUAUCACGGGAGACACACGGCGGGUGCUAACGUCCGUCGUGAAGAGGGAAACAACCCAGACCGCCAGCUAAGGUCCCAAAGUCAUGGUUAAGUGGGAAACGAUGUGGGAAGGCCCAGACAGCCAGGAUGUUGGCUUAGAAGCAGCCAUCAUUUAAAGAAAGCGUAAUAGCUCACUGGUCGAGUCGGCCUGCGCGGAAGAUGUAACGGGGCUAAACCAUGCACCGAAGCUGCGGCAGCGACACUAUGUGUUGUUGGGUAGGGGAGCGUUCUGUAAGCCUGUGAAGGUGGCCUGUGAGGGUUGCUGGAGGUAUCAGAAGUGCGAAUGCUGACAUAAGUAACGAUAAAGCGGGUGAAAAGCCCGCUCGCCGGAAGACCAAGGGUUCCUGUCCAACGUUAAUCGGGGCAGGGUGAGUCGACCCCUAAGGCGAGGCCGAAAGGCGUAGUCGAUGGGAAACAGGUUAAUAUUCCUGUACUUGGUGUUACUGCGAAGGGGGGACGGAGAAGGCUAUGUUGGCCGGGCGACGGUUGUCCCGGUUUAAGCGUGUAGGCUGGUUUUCCAGGCAAAUCCGGAAAACCAAGGCUGAGGCGUGAUGACGAGGCACUACGGUGCUGAAGCGACAAAUGCCCUGCUUCCAGGAAAAGCCUCUAAGCAUCAGGUAACAUCAAAUCGUACCCCAAACCGACACAGGUGGUCAGGUAGAGAAUACCAAGGCGCUUGAGAGAACUCGGGUGAAGGAACUAGGCAAAAUGGUGCCGUAACUUCGGGAGAAGGCACGCUGAUAUGUAGGUGAAGCGACUUGCUCGUGGAGCUGAAAUCAGUCGAAGAUACCAGCUGGCUGCAACUGUUUAUUAAAAACACAGCACUGUGCAAACACGAAAGUGGACGUAUACGGUGUGACGCCUGCCCGGUGCCGGAAG